GGGGAGGCAUGGGCGCAAGCCUGAUGCAGCCAUGCCGCGUGUAUGAAGAAGGCCUUCGGGUUGUAAAGUACUUUCAGCGGGGAGGAAGGGAGUAAAGUUAAUACCUUUGCUCAUUGACGUUACCCGCAGAAGAAGCACCGGCUAACUCCGUGCCAGCAGCCGCGGUAAUU
rnacentral:rRNA from 1 species